GUUGUGACCAUAUUGUAUUUUUAGAAGAGAGGAAACAUCAGUGGCUGUUAACCACAGAAAGAAAGAGACAAAUACAUUCUAAUAAGUUGACCAUGUGGGUUUUUAGAGGAACUCACAAUAACACCUAGGUGAGUUCCUGUUCUCAGCUCAGACAGACAGUGUGCUCUGUUCAGUCAGUUCAGUCUGUAUGAAGAUGAGGGGGAAUAUCUGCUGCUGCCUGUUAGCUUUUGUUCUGAGCUGCAAUGUCACUGCAGCAAUAAUCCAUAAAAUAGUCGAGGAGAAGAACCCUGUCUUUCUGAGUUGUCCUCACUCUGUGGAGGGUAAAGUGACGUGGAGCAGAGAGAGAGAUGGAACUAAAGUUGACUUAUUUACAGCUGAUGGUGACAGAGAGAUAAGACACAUUAAUGAUCCAGGCAGACGAUACAGUUCAGUGGCAGAUAAAUCACUUUACAUUGGUAGAGUUACUGUCUCAGACACUGGAAGAUACUUCUGUAAUAAUGAACCAGCUGUGGAGCUGACGGUGAUCCCAUCAGGAACAACCAGACUUGAUGCUGCAGAGAGGACCACCAUCACUCUGAAAUGUCCUCCUGAUGUUGGAGGAUCAGAUGUUCCAACAUGGAGCAGAGACACUGUUGAAAUACAACAACAGAGACGGUUUCAUGUUUCACCUGCUGACAACACGUUGAUAAUAACAGACCUGCAGCCUGCUGACUCUGGACUUUAUUACUGUGAUGGAAAACUUGCUGCGUAUCUAAUUGUGAACAAAGGUGAGACAUCUGAAAGAGGUGAGACACAAGAAGUGAGACAGGAAGACAGAAAUAUGGGCAGAAUAAGCAGCUGCUGUAUGCCAACACUAUACACAUAAACUGUGUGGUCAAGAUCUGCUAGUUAACAACACUGAGAGAUUCAGACUUUACUACAAAAUCGACUUUAACUCGCUUAAUUCUGAACCUGAAUUUGGUUUGUCAUAUAUAUGAGAAAUUGAACCUGAUACUGGUUGGAAUUAAUUCAGUCACUGUGCAGGAUUCAUUUACACGUGACUUUUGCUACAAACCUGCAAAUGUGUGUGGAGAUCUGUCAGUGUGUCUCAGUAGCUGUACAGCCUACAGACCAGCAGAUGGAGGUAGUGUCUAUUGUUUUACAGCCAAAUAGUGAUAUGGGGCACCGGAUAUAUUAAAUUUACUGUUUAUCAGACCAAAACUGAGUCAUGAAUUAGGUUAAAAAAAAACAAUAGAUGAAUAAUAACACAUAUUUAGAUUAUUUUACACAUUUGCAAAUCUGAUACACACAGAUACAGAUACAGUUACUCUGAGCUCUGUGUGUGAGAGCCUCAAUGCAGCUCAGUUCUAACCUUUAGAUACAGAAUCUACUGGUUGUAAAUAUGAUGUAGUUCACAUCAACAUACUGCCCACUGUAUUCUCUCUGCCCCACACAGAGGCAGCAACAUCAACGACAAAAGGAACUCCUACAACUACAGUCAUUGUUUGGGAUCAAUGUAAAGAUUGCAGUCUGGUGCUUCAGUCGUCUAAAGCAGUCGGAACCAUUGUGACAAAAUAGAAAAAAGCUGAUAUUUAGCAUAAACUCCUGAGAAUGAGG
rnacentral:lncRNA from 15 species